rnacentral:rRNA from 1 species
CCUACGGGGGGCAGCAGUGAGGAAUAUUGGUCAAUGGACGAGAGUCUGAACCAGCCAAGUAGCGUGAAGGAUGACUGCCCUAUGGGUUGUAAACUUCUUUUAUAAAGGAAUAAAACGAGGCACGUGUGCCUUUUUGCAUGUACUUUAUGAAUAAGGAUCGGCUAACUCCGUGCCAGCAGCCGCGGUAAUACGGAGGAUCCGAGCGUUAUCCGGAUUUAUUGGGUUUAAAGGGAGCGUAGAUGGGUUGUUAAGUCAGUUGUGAAAGUUUGCGGCUCAACCGUAAAAUUGCAAUUGAUACUGGCAGUCGUGAGUACAGUUGAGGUAGGCGGAAUUCGUGGUGUAGCGGUGAAAUGCUUAGAUAUCACGAAGAACUCCGAUUGCGAAGGCAGCUUACUAAACUGCAACUGACAUUGAUGCUCGAAAGUGUGGGUAUCAAACAGGAUUAGAUACCCUUGUAGUC